UCUGGGAAACUGCCUGAUGGAGGGGGAUAACUACUGGAAACGGUGGCUAAUACCGCAUAACGUCGCAAGACCAAAGAGGGGGACCUUCGGGCCUCUUGCCAUCAGAUGUGCCCAGAUGGGAUUAGCUAGUUGGUGAGGUAACGGCUCACCAAGUCGACGAUCCCUAGCUGGUCUGAGAGGAUGACCAGCCACACUGGAACUGAGACACGGUCCAGACUCCUACGGGAGGCAGCAGUGGGGAAUAUUGCACAAUGG
rnacentral:rRNA from 1 species